AUGGGUCAAAUGAUGAUUUUAAGCAUAGUUCAACUGACAAUCCAAUGUGAUUAUUAAACUUUUUUGGUCUUUCGCUCCUAUCUGAUGACCCUU
rnacentral:snoRNA from 1 species